UGUAUCACACAUCAGAAGGCUUUUUGGCUUGAAACUUGUGUUUAUUUUCUUUAGCGGACAUCCAGUUAUCCUUGGUUCUAUCGUUAUUCUUGACAGGUACACAAUUGGAUAUAUAAGUGGCUGUGUAAUACCGAAGAAAGUCUAAAACUUGUUACAAAACGGUCCCUUGGACGAUAAAUACACUAGCGUAGUGGCUAGUAACGUUAGUAGUUAGCUAAUUCUGUAGCUAAUUAGCUAGCUAGCAACAACAAGGAAAGAUGGGGUCGAUUCUUAGCCGGAGAAUCGCUGGCGUUGAGGAUAUUGAUAUCCAGGCGAAUUCUGCRUACAGAUUUCCACCGAAAUCGGGGAAUUACUUUGCCAGCCAUUUUUUCAUGGGAGGGGAGAAAUUUGACACYCCCCAUCCAGAGGGUUACCUAUUUGGAGARAACAUGGAUCUGAACUUCCUUGGAAAUAGGCCUGUACAAUUUCCGUACGUGACCCCGGCCC